rnacentral:rRNA from 1 species
UACGUAGGGUGCGAGCGUUGCCCGGAUUUAUUGGGCGUAAAGGGCGCGCAGGCGGUACGGCACGUCCGUUGUGAAAUCGCUCGGCUCAACUGGGCGGGGUCAGCGGAUACGGCCGCACUUGAGCAAGCUAGGGGGCAAUGGAAUUCCCGGUGUAGUGGUGGAAUGCGUAGAUAUCGGGAAGAACACCCGUGGCGAAGGCGGCUCUCUGGGACGGUACUGACGCUGAGACGCGAAAGCGUGGGGAGCGAACAGG